GCCCUGGUGGUCUAGUGGUUAAGAGUCAGCGCUCUCACUGCUGCGGCCCGGGUUCAUUUCCUGGUCAGGGAA
rnacentral:tRNA from 1 species